GUUGACGAUAAGCGGUGUAACUUACCCUACACGAAACAGGUUGAGCUAACUACUUGCAGAUUUAGCCAAGGUAUGAUGUGUGUAGCAGAACACUACGAGAGACGGGUAGUUAGGGGUGACAGGCCAAGCAAAACCUGUGAUAUCUUGAUCUCAGGAAAUGCAUCUAGUGAUAAACCAAAUAAGAAGUGAUAAGGCUUCUUAUUGAAAUUAACUGAUAACAAUUAGACGUAUAGCUCUAACAGGCGAUAUAAGGUAACUAUAACAUAAUAAUAUAUUUUUUUGUUUAUACUACUGAAGGUGACAAACUCCCUAAAACUCAUAAUGUCAACAUAAGUAGAUCACACAGGUUAGUAAAAUGAACUCGGCAAAGGGACCUUCGACUGUUUACCAAAAACAUAGCUAUGUGUAUAUCCACAUAGUUUUUUCUGCUCAAUGAGUUUUAAAUGGCCGCAGUACUCUGACUGUGCAAAGGUAGCAUAAUCAGUUGGCUUAUAAUUGAAGUCUAGAAUGAAAGAAUAAACGGGGGGAAACUGUAUCUUAUUAAGUUUUUGAAAUUAAUUAGUGAGUGAAAAUGCUCACACCUAAACAAUAGACGAGAAGACCCUAGAAAUUUAAGUUGACUUUUGUUGGGGCGACAUAAUAGCAAUUUAACCUAUUUUAUACACACGGGUCUAAUUAGAAGUAAGAUUAAUUACUCUAGGGAUAACAGCAUAAUUUAUAAAAGAUUGUGACCUCGAUGUUGGACUAGGAAUCUAAUCCAAAGAUGACGGAUAUUGCUCUGUUCGAGC
rnacentral:rRNA from 1 species